rnacentral:rRNA from 1 species
UACGAAGGGGGCUAGCGUUGCUCGGAAUCACUGGGCGUAAAGCGUGCGUAGGUGGCUUUACAAGUCAGGGGUGAAAUCCUGGGGCUCAACCCCAGAAUUGCCUUUGAAACUGUAGAGCUAGAGUAUCGGAGGGGAUAGCGGAAUUGCUAAUGUAGAGGUGAAAUUCGUAGAUAUCAAGCGGAACACCGGUGGCGAAGGCGGCCUUCUGGACAGUGACUGACGCUGAGACGCGAAAGCGUGGGGAGCAAACAGG